rnacentral:lncRNA from 1 species
UCUCUUGAUCCGUUCUUCCUGGCGCAUAGCAGCCUCCUGCUGAUGCUGCACUACGCCCACAAGCAUUCCCAACUGUUCACGGAGCUCCGAGUCUCCUCUCGCUCCGGAUUGCUCAGGGACAUCACUUGUCCCAUCCCGCGUCGAUCUAGCCGAAGAUCGCCUACGCGGUGCCAUCGUUCCCUGAAACAUGACAACUCGAUUAAUUCUCAACCUUCGAGGUCGAGUACGAAACAUUUAACAUUGACUCAAAUCGGGCGAAAGUCAUACAAGGGCGUCUAUUCUCAUCACUCGGUUUCAUGUUGUCGUACGCCCAAUAUGAACACACUCGGUUGAGAGUACACCGCACCUUGGAUCUACCUCUAACAUCCAUUAUAGAGGUUUACCACAUAAACCAAUCAUUAACCUUUCGCCACAAGUCUCAAGUUCUCGUCUCUCAGGAGCCUUAUUCUCCUAUGAUUUACUAUCCUAGGGUCUCCUAGGUCAAGCUAAACUAUUUUUGUUAUUCCCUUUUUAUGUUCUUUUUAUGCUCUGAUACCAUCUUAUCUGUCACGCUCCGAGCCCGCCUAUUUGGUCGGUUUCGGGCACGCUAACAGACCGCCGAACGGACAGGGUUUCUCCUGUACCGCGGACAGAGUCUCCCCUGUACAUUCAAGGCGUCAAAAUCAAUAUAAUGUACGAAGUUCCAACCAGGAACACAUUUCAACCAAAGAUUGCAUAAGAAAGUAUCAAAAACAUAAUUCUACUUGCUAUUACAAGCAUUCAUCUCACAUAUUACAUUUUACAUUACAAAUCACAUUCUCUUACAUUCAACUUCCAAAUAUAAUCCAAUUAUUACAAAUUUACUACAAGUUUGAUACAUCUUGUUCUUUCAUUUUUCUCUACCCCUAGGCUAUGCCGACUCGGGGUACCACUAUCUCUUGUCUUUGUGGUAGGGCGCUAUCUAUGGAGCUACGCCCUUGCCUCACGCCGCUGCGCCGCUCACGUCUGAACCUGUAACACCCCAAAACAACGUGGGGUGAGAACCAACUCCAUGGUUCUCAGUGGGUACGGCCAUCCAAGGGAAGAGCUCGACCAUCAGGUCCAAAGGAGGCAAACAACAUGUUAGUCCAAUAGAUAGAUACAAAAUCAUAAAUCAUGCAACUAACAUUACCAUGCUUUUGCCUCACAACAUGCAAUAUGCAAAUCAUACAACUCAUAUAAGUAGAUUAAUUGAUUUUACUCUUUAUUCUUAGCCAUUCUUUACUCGUUAGCCAUUGUUUAUCGCUAAACAUUCUUUACAUUAUUAGCUAUUCUUUAACAUUUGCCUUUCUUUAUUCUUUAUUACUUGCCAAUCUUUAGCAUUAACCCUUCUUUAUUCUUUAUUCUUUAUUCUUUAUUACUUGCCAAUCUUUAGCAUUAGCCCUUCUUUAUUCUUUAUUCUAAGGGUACUCACACCUUAGCCAUAUUAUACACAUUGCCACUCUUACCUAAGGUUACUUUACCUUAGCCAACUAUGCCACUCGACUCGGUCUUGAGUCAAUCAUAUGCGGAUAAUCCGCGCUCUGUCAGGCUCGAGGUGAAGGAACUAUCACAUGCACCUCAGCCAUCAAUCCACAAACCACAUCGCCCAACGGGUCGCCCAGAGCUGCGUACACCUGUGGUCAGGGAUCGCCCAGUGGGAGAGGAACAUGCCGCAUACACCCGCAGUCGAGAUCCCCGAUAGGGAGAGGAACAUGCCACAUGCACCCUAGCGCUCAUAGUUCUUGCUCAAUCACAAGCCUCGAAGUUCUUCCGGUGGGAGAGGAAUAUGCCACAUGCACCCGCGGCCAAGAACUAUCGAGCUCGUAUACUGCACUAGCAGCCGCUGCACUCGCAGCAGGGAUUCCGGAAUCCACUUUACAUAUCUCAAGGGUUGGUCUCACCCUAAAGUAUCGACCUAUCUACGUCCAAGCCUUUACUCAACCUAAGUUGAUACAUUAGGUUCAACAUCAUUAUCUUCUUAGCCUAGGUUCAUUAACACUAGGUCCAACAUUCUUUACCACCUAGGUUCAUUUGACUCUAGGUUCCAUGUCACUAUGUUCACAACCUAGGUUUACUUGACUUUAGGUUCAAUGCCACUCAUGUUCUUGUUUUCCUAGUUGUCCAC